AUAGAGACUCAGAGCUGCAUAUCAAUAAGCGGAGGAAAAGAAACUAACAAGGAUUCCCCUAGUAACGGCGAGUGAAGCGGGAAGAGCUCAAAUUUGAAAUCUUCAAGGGUUUCCCUUGACGAAUUGUAGUUUAAAGAAGUGUUUUCUGUUAGAGAGGUGGUAAAAGUUCUUUGGAAUAGGACAUCAUAGAGGGUGAGAAUCCCGUAUUUGGUCAUUCUUUCUAGCUUUGUGAUACACUUUCAACGAGUCGGAUUGUUUGGGAAUGCAGUCCAAAAUGGGUGGUAAAUUUCAUCUAAAGCUAAAUAUUGGCGAGAGACCGAUAGCGAACAAGUACCGUGAGGGAAAGAUGAAAAGAACUUUGAAAAGAGAGUUAAACAGUACGUGAAAUUGUCAAAAGGGAAGCGUUUGACACAGUGUUGUUUUUCCGAAAAUCAAUUAUGAAUGUCUUGAUUUUAAGAAGUUCAUGACCUUAAAGCUUGUUGCUUAUUUUCUUACGUAACUUUCUUAAUGCACUUUUCGGUUAACAAGUCAGCAUCAAUUUCUCUUGUUGUAAAAGGGUAUGAGGAAGGUGGCUUUACUUUCGGAGUAAAGUGUUUAUAGUCCUUGUAGCCUCUGCAAUCGGAGAGAUUGAGGUCUGCAGCGUAGAUCCUUCGGGGUUAGAUACGUUUGUGCUAAGUUAUAGCUUUUCAUAGACAACUUGUUGACUAUGUUUAGUCUUGUAGCUUACUCGCUUACGCUAUUUUACCUACGCUUAGGAUGUUGAUAGUCACAGCGUGUAC
rnacentral:rRNA from 1 species